AACUGCACUUGGUUGUGUGGUUUGGUACCCAGGGUGAUUACUUUGAGGAAAUCAGAGUGCUUCCAGCAAGUGAAUGUCUUGCAUACAAAAGCAUGGAAUAAUGACAAAGUUCAUUGUUAUGCUUGUUGGUUUCGUAACGGGGAUAAGGAUUGAUGGGGAUGGUAGGGGGCAUUUGUAUUUAACUGUCAGAGGUGAAAUUCUUGGAUUUGUUAAAGACAAAAUAAUGUGAAUUCAUUCGCCAAGGAUGUAUUGCUUAAUCAAGAACGAAAGUUAGGGGAUCGAAGACGAUUAGAUACCGUCCUAGUCUUAACCAUAAAUUAUGCUACCAAGAAAUUGGAGGCGGUUGCCUGUUGAUUCGUUAGCCAUUUUUUGAGAAAUCAAAGUCUUUGAGUUCCAGGGGGAGUAUGGUCGCAAGACUGAAACUUAAAGGCAUGGACGGAAGGGCACCACCAGGAGGGGAGCCUGGGGGUUAAUUUGACUCAACUCGGGGAAACUCACCAGGUCCAGAUAUUGUACGGAUUGACAGAUAUAUAGCUCUUUGUAGAUUCUGCGGGUGGUGGUGCAUGGCCGU
rnacentral:rRNA from 1 species